rnacentral:rRNA from 1 species
UACGUAGGGGGCAAGCGUUGUCCGGAAUCAUUGGGCGUAAAGAGCGUGUAGGCGGCCCGGUAAGUCGGUUGUGAAAGUCAAGGGCUCAACCCUUGAAUGCCGACCGAUACUGUCGGGCUAGAGUCCGGAAGAGGCGAGUGGAAUUCCUGGUGUAGCGGUGAAAUGCGCAGAUAUCAGGAGGAACACCGAUUGCGAAGGCAGCUCGCUGGGACGUUACUGACGCUGAGACGCGAAAGCGUGGGGAGCAAACAGG